UGCUGAAACAGCAGUUCUCACAAGAUCACUGAAGUUAAGCAAUGUUGAGCCUGGUAAUUAUCUAGAUAGGUGACCGCUUGGGAAUACCAGGUGCUGUAA